GGGGGCCCUGAGACGGGGGGACUCUGAAGCCAAUAGAACACACACUCUCCUCUAGAGCAUCAGUGCACACCCAAGAGACUUGGGACCGCUCCCUCUCUCGCCUACCUGUAACCCCUACUACAGACCCCGCGUGGGCAACGCGAGCAGCUCCCGAUACUGGACGUAGGGCUUUCCUUGCCUGAACCAAUCUAAUCCCGUGUCUUCCC
rnacentral:lncRNA from 1 species